rnacentral:lncRNA from 1 species
CGGGCACAGACCUCGAGCGCUGCUGUGGCACUUCGGGAAAACCCGACAGAAAUCCCCGAAAAAGCAGCUGGUGGUGCUGGCCCGAGGCUGCGUUACGCGUAUGGGUGUUACCCUGAUAGCACAGCGAGCAUGAAGUAAUACGGCAUUUCUGCCCCAAAGAAAUGGUCCAGUUCUGCUCUUUGGGGUUUUGUUCACCUUCCACAUAUACAGGUGGAUGCUGCUGGAGAAAAGAAAGGCAAAUCCAGUGCUAUGGAGAAGCAAGGCAGAAGGUGUAAGCAGCCGGGGAGUGCCCGGGUGCGGCACUGGAGCGUAGGGAGUCAGAGGAUUCCUGAGCAGCAGCGGCAGCAGCAGAGUGUCUCUGAUUAUCGGAGCCAAUGUUUUAUACAAAAGAACUUUCUUGAGGAGCCUUGCAGAGAGGUGGAGCUAAUGUGCUGGGAUUCCUUGAGAAAGAGAAGGAAACUGCUCUGGGAAGUACUGCCUGCCUCGGGGGAGAGAUGUUGAGGUUUGGAGAGGAAUGGCACAGAGCCUUCGAUUCACUGGAUGCCUGAACCAGGAUGCAUUGAAGACAAUGGAGCCAUGUAAAAUGAUGGCAAAUUGUGACCUCAGCAGGUUUUUAAAUUGUUCCAAAGGUGGAAAACUGAAUGAAGCUACCUUCUACUUACCACUGACAGACAGAGCUCAGGAUCCUAAGGGAUGUAGAAACUGCCUCAGUUCCUCUGCUCUCCUCUGGUGGCCUGAGCCAGCAAGAGCCAAGCGUGGUUUGGCUUGGUUUGGUCUGAGAUGGAAAGAAGACUCAUGCAGGAGAAUAUCUCUGGUCCUCUCCUGGAUCCCAGCAACCUUCUUUCUGUUGGAGAGAGAAAGAAAUUCCUGCUGUGUUGUUGAACAAACAAUAAGCUGCUGUGUGGUCAUGCUGGGCUAAACCCUGAAAUAAAGCUACAAAAAGUGCUCA